rnacentral:rRNA from 1 species
GAUGAACGCUGGCGGUAUGCUUAACACAUGCAAGUCGAACGGACUCUUCGGAGUUAGUGGCGGACGGGUGAGUAACGCGUGAGAAUCUGGCUUUGGGUUCGGGACAACCACUGGAAACGGUGGCUAAUACAGGAUGUGCCGAGAGGUAAAAGAGAAAUUGCCUGAAGAUGAGCUCGCGUCUGAUUAGCUAGUUGGUGAGGUAAAGGCUCACCAAGGCAGCGAUCAGUAGCUGGUCUGAGAGGAUGACCAGCCACACUGGGACUGAGACACGGCCCAGACUCCUACGGGAGGCAGCAGUGGGGAAUUUUCCGCAAUGGGCGAAAGCCUGACGGAGCAAUACCGCGUGAGGGAAGAAGGCUCUUGGGGUGUAAACCUCUUUUCUUAGGGAAGAACAAAAUGACGGUACCUAAGGAAUCAGCAUCGGCUAACUCCGUG